rnacentral:rRNA from 1 species
CCCUUAGAUGUUCUGGGCCGCACGCGCGCUACACUGACGAAUGCAACGAGCUUAUAACCUUGGCCGAAAGGUCUGGGUAAUCUCCAAAUUUCGUCGUGAUGGGGAUAGAUUAUUGCAAUUAUUAAUCUUCAACGAGGAAUGCCUAGUAAGCGCAAGUCAUCAGCUUGCGUUGAUUACGUCCCUGCCCUUUGUACACACCGCCCGUCGCUCCUACCGAUUGAAUGGUCCGGUGAAGCGUUCGGACCGUGGCCUUUGGACGGUUCGCCGUCUGUUGGCUGCGGGAAGCUCGUUAAACCUUNUNAUUUAGNGGAAGGAGAANUCGUANCA